rnacentral:rRNA from 1 species
GUGUCAGCCGCCGCGGUAAUACGUAGGUGGCGAGCGUUGUCCGGAAUUAUUGGGCGUAGAGGGUGCGUAGGCGGUUUUUUAAGUGGGAUGUGAAAUACCUAGGCUUAACUUAGGAAUGGCAUUCCAAACUGGAAGACUAGAGUGCAGGAGAGGAAAGUGGAAUUCCCAGUGUAGCGGUGAAAUGCGUAGAGAUUGGGAGGAACACCAGUGGCGAAGGCGACUUUCUGGUCUGUAACUGACGCUGAUGUGCGAAAGCGUGGGGAUCAAACAGGAUUAGAUACCCGGGUAGUCC